CACUAAGUAGGUGAGUCACCUCACAGACGGACCUGUGCCCUUACAAAAAUUCUCCUCGCGAGAGUCUGCGAGAACACGGGCGUCACCCCGCGUCGUUAUUUUCCUUACUCAUCAGUUUAAGGCAUGAGGCUGAGGUGCACGAGCAGCCGCUCCAGGUGGCGAGCGCCCGCGUGCACAGCGACGGUGAGCAGAGGGAGCGCGCGUCUCCUUCAGACAGCAGGCCCAUAUAUGGCAGAGGGGCGGGGGGUCCGUGGGCAGGCCUUCGACGCGCGUCAGAAGAUUGGCAGCAGUGAUGUCAGACAGCGGCUGGGCGGUGGGCGGAGCUACAGGAGCGCUCCAGGUAAAGGAUGCGAGAGAGAAGCUGGGACAGAAAGACGCGCGGGUUUCCGGAUCCAGGGUCGAGGG